GACGAACGCUGGCGGCGUGCUUAACGCAUGCAAGUCGAACGGAAAGGCCCUGCUUUUGUGGGGUGCUCGAGUGGCGAACGGGUGAGUAACACGUGAGUAACCUGCCCUUGACUUUGGGAUAACUUCAGGAAACUGGGGCUAAUACCGGAUAGGAGCUCCUGCUGCAUGGUGGGGGUUGGAAAGUUUCGGCGGUUGGGGAUGGACUCGCGGCUUAUCAGCUUGUUGGUGGGGUAGUGGCUUACCAAGGCUUUGACGGGUAGCCGGCCUGAGAGGGUGACCGGCCACAUUGGGACUGAGAUACGGCCCAGACUCCUACGGGAGGCAGCAGUGGGGAAUAUUGCACAAUGGGCGGAAGCCUGAUGCAGCAACGCCGCGUGCGGGAUGACGGCCUUCGGGUUGGAAACCGCUUUCGCCUGUGACGAAGCGUGAGUGACGGUAAUGGGUAAAGAAGCACCGGCUAACUACGUG
rnacentral:rRNA from 1 species